UUAAGUUUUUUGUGAUCUCUGCUCAGGAUGAACGCUGGCGGCGUGCCUAAUACAUGCAAGUCGAACGCGCAGCGAGAGGUGCUUGCACCUUUCAAGCGAGUGGCGAACGGGUGAGUAACACGUGGAUAACCUGCCUCAAGGCUGGGGAUAACAUUUGGAAACAGAUGCUAAUACCGAAUAAAACUUAGUAUCGCAUGAUAUCAAGUUAAAAGGCGCUACGGCGUCACCUAGAGAUGGAUCCGCGGUGCAUUAGUUAGUUGGUGGGGUAAAGGCUUACCAAGACGAUGAUGCAUAGCCGAGUUGAGAGACUGAUCGGCCACAUUGGGACUGAGACACGGCCCAAACUCCUACGGGAGGCUGCAGUAGGGAAUCUUCCACAAUGGGCGCAAGCCUGAUGGAGCAACGCCGCGUGUGUGAUGAAGGCUUUCGGGUCGUAAAGCACUGUUGUAUGGGAAGAAAUGCUAAAAUAGGGAAUGAUUUUAGUUUGACGGUACCAUACCAGAAAGGGACGGCUAAAUACGUGCCAGCAGCCGCGGUAAUACGUAUGUCCCGAGCGUUAUCCGGAUUUAUUGGGCGUAAAGCGAGCGCAGACGGUUGAUUAAGUCUGAUGUGAAAGCCCGGAGCUCAACUCCGGAAUGGCAUUGGAAACUGGUUAACUUGAGUGUUGUAGAGGUAAGUGGAACUCCAUGUGUAGCGGUGGAAUGCGUAGAUAUAUGGAAGAACACCAGUGGCGAAGGCGGCUUACUGGACAACAACUGACGUUGAGGCUCGAAAGUGUGGGUAGCAAACAGGAUUAGAUACCCUGGUAGUCCACACCGUAAACGAUGAAUACUAGGUGUUAGGAGGUUUCCGCCUCUUAGUGCCGAAGCUAACGCAUUAAGUA
rnacentral:rRNA from 1 species